AUAAAGGUGGCAGAUAAAGUGCAUUAGGUU
rnacentral:tRNA from 1 species